UUACCACACCUGUGGUACCUGGGCAGCCUCCUGGACGGGGGUUCUCCUUUUAAUAGGUUCUGGCCUGCCCCUGUUAGCUGGAAACAGUUGGUUCUGACCAAUUACCACACCUGUGGUACCUGGACAACCUCACCAGGAGCAGUGAU
rnacentral:lncRNA from 1 species